rnacentral:rRNA from 1 species
UAUCUCUGUAGAGUCUGCAUAUCAAUAAGCGGAGGAAAAGAAACUAACAAGGAUUCCCUUAGUAACGGCGAGUGAAGCGGGAAGAGCUCAAAUUUGAAAUCUUCAAGGUUCUACCUUGACGAAUUGUAGUUUAAAGAAGUGUUUUCUGUUAGAUGAGUAGCAAAAGUUCCUUGGAAUGGGACAUCAUAGGGGGUGAGAAUCCCGUAUUUGGUUAUUCAUUCUAGCUUUGUGAUACACUUUCAAAGAGUCGGAUUGUUUGGGAAUGCAGUCCAAAAUGGGUGGUAAAUUUCAUCUAAAGCUAAAUAUUGGCGAGAGACCGAUAGCGAACAAGUACCGUGAGGGAAAGAUGAAAAGAACUUUGAAAAGAGAGUUAAACAGUACGUGAAAUUGUCAAAAGGGAAGCGUUUGACACCAGUGUUGUUUUUCCGAAAAUCAAUUACGAAUGGCUUGAUUUUGUGUUGUAUUGACCUUAUCAGCUUUCUUCACUUUUUUCGAGUCUUUCUUAAUGCACUUUUCGGUUAACAAGUCAACAUCAAUUUCUUUUGUUGUAAAAGAGUAUUCGGAAGGUGGCUUUCUUUUCGGAGAAAGUGUUUAUAGCCCUAUACUUCUACAAUCGGAGAGAUUGAGGUCUGCAGCGUAGAUCCUUCGGGGUUAGAUACACUUGUGCUAAGUUGUAGCUUUUCAUAGACAACUUGUUGACUAUGUUUAGUCAUGCGGCUUACUCGCUUGUGCUAUUUUACCUACGCUUAGGAUGUUGACUGAUAUGUAGUCGUA